rnacentral:rRNA from 13 species
AUACACUAUGAUCCGCAGAUAUCCGAAUGGGGCAACCCGGCAUAUUGAAGAUAUGUCACCAGAGAUGGAGCAAACCCGGAGAACUGAAACAUCUAAGUACCCGGAGGAGAAGAAAACAAAAGUGAUUCCGCUAGUAGUGGCGAGCGAACGCGGAAUAGCCCAAACCAAUAUUGUUACGGCAAUAUUGGGGUUGUAGGACCACGAUAUUUUAUGUUAAUUGAA